rnacentral:rRNA from 1 species
UACGUAGGGUGCAAGCGUUGUCCGGAAUUAUUGGGCGUAAAGAGCUCGUAGGCGGUCUGUCACGUCGGCUGUGAAAACCCGAGGCUCAACCUCGGGCCUGCAGUCGAUACGGGCAGACUAGAGUUCGGUAGGGGAGACUGGAAUUCCUGGUGUAGCGGUGAAAUGCGCAGAUAUCAGGAGGAACACCGGUGGCGAAGGCGGGUCUCUGGGCCGAAACUGACGCUGAGGAGCGAAAGCGUGGGGAACGAACAGG